GCUGGCCUAGUGGUUAGAGUGUCCGCCUAGGAAUGCAGAAGGUCGCGGGUUUGAACCCCGACCGAGUCA